rfam:Myotis davidii contig46461, whole genome shotgun sequence.
GGCAGUUCUUGGGUGAUGCAGACCGGAAUUGGGCUCCCUCCUCUCUGGUUCCUAGUGUGUCACCCGAGAACUGCA